rnacentral:rRNA from 1 species
GCAAAACGCGAAGAACCUUACCAAGGCUUGACAUACACCAGAACACCGCAGAAAUACGGGACUCUUUGGACACUGGUGAACAGGUGGUGCAUGGUUGUCGUCAGCUCGUGUCGUGAGAUGUUGGGUUAAGUCCCGCAACGAGCGCAACCCUCGUUCUAUGUUGCCAGCACGUAAUGGUGGGAACUCAUGGGAUACUGCCGGGGUCAACUCGGAGGAAGGUGGGGAUGACGUCAAAUCAUCAUGCCCCUUAUGUCUUGGGCUUCACGCAUGCUACAAUGGCCGGUACAAAGGGCUGCAAUACCGUGAGGUGGAGCGAAUCCCAAAAAGCCGGUCCCAGUUCGGAUUGAGGUCUGCAACUCGACCUCAUGAAGUCGGAGUCGCUAGUAAUCGCAGAUCAGCAACGCUGCGGUGAAUACGUUCCCGGGUCUUGUACACACCG